GACGAACGCUGGCGGCGUGCCUAAUACAUGCGAGUCGAACGCACAGUUUAUACCGUAGCUUGCUACACCAUAGACUGUGAGUUGCGAACGGGUGAGUAACGCGUAGGUAACCUGCCUGGUAGCGGGGGAUAACUAUUGGAAACGAUAGCUAAUACCGCAUAAUAUUAAUUAUUGCAUGAUAAUUAAUUGAAAGGUGCAAUUGCACCACUACCAGAUGGACCUGCGUUGUAUUAGCUAGUAGGUGAGGUAACGGCUCACCUAGGCGACGAUACAUAGCCGACCGGAGAGGGUGAUCGGCCACACUGGGACUGAGACACGGCCCAGACUCCUACGGGAGGCAGCAGUAGGGAAUCUUCGGCAAUGGACGAAAGUCUGACCGAGCAACGCCGCGUGAGUGAAGAAGGGUUUCGGAUCGUAAAGCUCUGUUGUAAGAGAAGAACGGGUGUGAGAGUGGAAAGUUCACACUGUGACGGUAGCUUACCAGAAAGGGACGGCUAACUACGUG
rnacentral:rRNA from 1 species